rnacentral:snoRNA from 1 species
CCCCUCUCAGGGUUGCACCUGGAGAGUUUCUGGUACUCUACCAGUCUUGACUAUGGGAGGGAGAGUCAAGCAGAGUCAUACCCAUUCCAUUCCUAGCUUGGGCAGUGGCUAGCUAGUAGAAGGCAAUUUGCUACAAGG